ACUUGGGUCCUUCAACAAAGACGUUCACUGCCCAGCAGCUAGCAAUAAUAUUUGCCCAAAUUAAAACCGGUAUUUAAAACUACAUGUUGGGUUCUCCAAAAAAAAUUUUGAAAAAAAUGAAAACAGCAAUAGGAACUUGUCCACACAAACAAAAGACAUGAAACAAUUAUUUAUUAUUUUCAUUAAAUUCUCAUCACAUAAA
rnacentral:misc_RNA from 1 species